GCCCAGUGAUGAGACCAAGGCGAAUACGAGUUUACUGAAUGAGGUUUGGGUUAUGCUUUGCCUUGACUGGCAGGUAAUCUUGGCAGUGCAGAGGAGGAUUUCUGCUCUGCUGUAAGGGCCUGCCUACAGUGACUUGGCUUGACCGAAAUUAUUCCUUUUAAGUGACAACGGAGUAAUCACCGGGAUGAAGCUGACAGUGUGUGUGUGUGUACAUUUGUGUGUGUGUGUAAAAGGCAAGGAGUUCACCCAGCUCUCUUUGCGGUUCAGUCGGCUGUGAAUUGUUUCUUUGGUAAUCUGAGGGCC